CGGGUCAACUGUAAUUGCCUCUAUUGUGAAGUGGAAAGUUCCAGAACUCACGACAGAGUUCCAACUCCAUAUUAAUGCCUUCCCAGAAGAGUGGAGGCUGUUAUAGCAGCAAAGGGGGGUCCAACUCCAUAUUAAAGCCUUCCCAGAAGAGUGGAGGCUGUUAUAGCAGCAAAGGGGGGUCCAACUCCAUAUUAAUGCCUUCCCAGAAGAGUGGAGGCUGUUAUAGCAGCAAAGGAGGGGUCCAACUCCAUAUUCAUGACUUCCCAGAAGAGUGGAGGCUGUUAUAGCAGCAAAGGGGGUCCAACUCCAUAUUAAUGACUUCCCAGAAGAGUGGAGGCUGUUAUAGCAGCAAAGGGGGUCCAACUCCAUAUUAAUGCCUUCCCAGAAGAGUGGAGGCUGUUAUAGCAGCAAAGGGGGGACCAACUCCAUAUUAAUGACUUCCCAGAAGAGUGGAGGCUGUUAUAGCAGCAAAGGGGGUCCAACUCCAUAUUAAUGCCUUCCCAGAAGAGUGGAGGCUGUUAUAGCAGCAAAGGGGGUCCAACUCCAUAUUAAUGCCUUCCCAGAAGAGUGGAGGCUGUUAUAGCAGCAAAGGGGGUCCAACUCCAUAUUAAUGCCUUCCCAGAAGAGUGGAGGCUGUUAUAGCAGCAAAGGGGGGACCAACUCCAUAUUAAUGCCUUCCCAGAAGAGUGGAGGUUGUUAUAGCAGCAAAGGGGGGUCCAACUCCAUAUUAAUGACUUCCCUGAAGAGUGGAGGCUGUUAUAGCAGCAAAGGGGGGUCCAACUCCAUAUUAAAGCCCAUGAUCUUGGAAUGAGAUGUUGGACGUGCAGGUGUCCACAUAUUUUUGGUCAUGUAAUGUAUCAUCAAGAAGCUUCCUAAGAAGGUAAAACACUUCUCCGGGCAGGCUGAUUAUCAGGACAGGAGACUGCAAUACACACACCUGAGGAGGAACGCACCCAAAGGGCUGGCAGGCUCUGUCCAGCCCUUAGGGGGCGUUCCAGGUGGUCUGUACUGCAAUCACACUGCCCAGUUUUAGGUGGCGAUGGAGACCUCUUGACGGGUACCCACCUGGAAGCU
ensembl:lncRNA